GACGAACGCUGGAGGCGUGCUUAACACAUGCAAGUCGAACGAUGAAAUGGAGCUUGCUCCAUGGAUUAGUGGCGAACGGGUGAGUAACACGUGAAUAACCUGCCCUUAAUUUUGGAAUAACCCAGGGAAACCUGGGCUAAUACCGGAUAAGUAAACCUGUGGCAUCACACGGUUUUGGAAAGUUUUUCGAUUAAGGAUGGAUUCGCGGCCUAUCCGCUUGUUGGUGAGGUAAGGGCUCACCAAGGCGACGACGGGUAGCCGGCCUGCGAGGGGGAACGGCCACACUGGGACUGAGACACGGCCCAGACUCCUACGGGAGGCAGCAGUGGGGAAUAUUGCGCAAUGGACGAAAGUCUGACGCAGCGACGCCUUGUGAGGGACGAAGGUCUUCGGAUUGUAAACCUCUUUCAGCAGGGACGAAGCGAAAGUGACGGUACCUGCAGAAGAAGCACCGGCUAACUAUGUGCCAGCCGCCGCGGUAA
rnacentral:rRNA from 1 species